rnacentral:rRNA from 1 species
AGUGAACGCUGGCGGUAGGCCUAACACAUGCAAGUCGAACGGCAGCACAGUAAGAGCUUGCUCUUACGGGUGGCGAGUGGCGGACGGGUGAGGAAUACAUCGGAAUCUACUUUUUCGUGGGGGAUAACGUAGGGAAACUUACGCUAAUACCGCAUACGACCUACGGGUGGAAGCAGGGGAUCUUCGGACCUUGCGCGAUUGAAUGAGCCGAUGUCGGAUUAGCUAGUUGGCGGGGUAAAGGCCCACCAAGGCGACGAUCCGUAGCUGGUCUGAGAGGAUGAUCAGCCACACUGGAACUGAGACACGGUCCAGACUCCUACGGGAGGCAGCAGUGGGGAAUAUUGGACAAUGGGCGCAAGCCUGAUCCAGCCAUACCGCGUGGGUGAAGAAGGCCUUCGGGUUGUAAAGCCCUUUUGUUGGGAAAGAAAAGCAGCAGGUUAAUAUCCCGCUGUUCUGACGGUACCCAAAGAAUAAGCACCGGCUAACUUCGUG